rnacentral:rRNA from 1 species
UGUGUAGGCGGUUGUUUAAGUUUGGUGUGAAAUCUCCCGGCUCAACUGGGAGGGUGCGCCGAAUACUGAAUGACUCGAGUGCGGGAGAGGAAAGUGGAAUUCCUGGUGUAGCGGUGAAAUGCGUAGAUAUCAGGAGGAACACCGGUGGUGUAGACGGCUUUCUGGACCGUAACUGACGCUGAAACACGAAAGCGUGGGUAGCAAACAGGAUUAGAUACCCUGGUAGUCCACGCCCUAAACGAUGCACAUUUGGUGUGGGUCAUUCAGUUGAUCCGUGCCGGAGCUAACGCGUUAAAUGUGCCGCCUGGGGAGUACAGUCGCAAGGCUGAA